rnacentral:lncRNA from 1 species
ACAGGGCUUUCCUCCCAGACUGUCUUUGGGUUACUAGAAAGGAUGUAAAGGCUUCACGGACUCAGAAAACAUACCAACUCAUUCCUAAUGUUUUAAAUUCAAGGAAAAACUCUCUUGCCCAGAAAGGUGGUAAGCGAUUGAAGAACUGAGCUACCAGUUUUGACUUAACAACACUCUGCGUCUGCAAGCUCCAGAGAAGCCGAGGCAUGAUGGACAGAGGGAUCGGAAACGAGGCUUCCGCAAAUUGAAGCAAGAGGUACAGCGCCUCUGAGGGGCCACAGAGAGGAGCAUGGUCAGGGCGACCCACCAGAGGUUUCACUAUUAAAAAACAACCUCUCUU